CCUACGGGUGGCAGCAGUGAGGAAUAUUGGUCAAUGGGCGCGAGCCUGAACCAGCCAAGUAGCGGGAAGGCUGACUGCACUACGGUUUGUAAACUUCUUUUAUCAAGGAAUAAAGUGAGGCACGUGUGCCUUUUGGUAAGUACUUUAUGAAUAAGGAACGACUAACUCCGUGCCAGCAGCCGCGGUAAUACGGAGGAUCCGAGCGUUAUCCGGAUUUAUUGGGUUUAAAGGGCUCGUAGAUGGGUUGUUAAGUCAGUGGUGAAAGUUUGCGGCUCAACCGUAAAAUUGCAAUGGAUACUGGCAGUCUUGAGUACAGUUGAGGUAGGCGGAAUUCGUGGUGUAGCGGUGAAAUGCUUAGAUAUCACGAAGAACUCCGAUUGCGAAGGCAGCUUACUAAACUGCCACUGACAUUGAUGCUCGAAAGUGUGGGUAUCAAACAGGAUUAGAUACCCGGGUAGUC
rnacentral:rRNA from 1 species